rnacentral:rRNA from 1 species
UACAGAGGUGGCAAGCGUUGUUCGGAAUUACUGGGCGUAAAGGGCUCGUAGGCGGCCAACUAAGUCAGACGUGAAAUCCCUCGGCUUAACCGAGGAACUGCGUCUGAUACUGGAUGGCUAGAGAUUGGGAGAGGGAUGCGGAAUUCCAGGUGUAGCGGUGAAAUGCGUAGAUAUCUGGAGGAACACCGGUGGCGAAGGCGGCAUCCUGGACCAACACUGACGCUGAGGAGCGAAAGCCAGGGGAGCAAACGGG